rnacentral:rRNA from 1 species
AGUGAACGCUAGCGGUAGGCCUAACACAUGCAAGUCGAACGGCAGCACAGGAGAGCUUGCUCUCUGGGUGGCGAGUGGCGGACGGGUGAGGAAUACAUCGGAAUCUACUCUGUCGUGGGGGAUAACGUAGGGAAACUUACGCUAAUACCGCAUACGACCUACGGGUGAAAGCAGGGGAUCUUCGGACCUUGCGCGAUUGAAUGAGCCGAUGUCGGAUUAGCUAGUUGGCGGGGUAAAGGCCCACCAAGGCGACGAUCCGUAGCUGGUCUGAGAGGAUGAUCAGCCACACUGGAACUGAGACACGGUCCAGACUCCUACGGGAGGCAGCAGUGGGGAAUAUUGGACAAUGGGCGCAAGCCUGAUCCAGCCAUACCGCGUGGGUGAAGAAGGCCUUCGGGUUGUAAAGCCCUUUUGUUGGGAAAGAAAUCCAGCUGGCUAAUACCCGGUUGGGAUGACGGUACCCAAAGAAUAAGCACCGGCUAACUUCGUGCCAGCAGCCGCGGUAA